rnacentral:rRNA from 1 species
UGGUGGAGUGAUUUGUCUGGUUAAUUCCGUUAACGAACGAGACCUCUACCUGCUAAAUAGUUCUGGGAAAUCUAGUUUUUGGGUUUCCCUUUUGUGACUUCUUAGAGGGACUAUCUGUGUGUAGCGGAUGGAAGUUGGAGGCAAUAACA